rfam:Echinops telfairi cont1.705047, whole genome shotgun sequence.
CUAGGGGGAACCGAAAACAGUUCUAGACAGACCUGUGGUUUUAUAGCAGUUUUGGCAGUCAACUUCAGCUUGUGCCUAAACAGACGGCCACGGUGGCCUGGCCGCCUGCGGGGGACGCCCAGCCCCUUCCCCUCCCCAGGCUGCUGCAGCCCCUCCUAAUUAGGCCAUUUCCCCCUUGGUGCGGGCUUUGCGGGUGCCCGCAGAAAGG